rnacentral:rRNA from 1 species
UACGUAGGGGGCAAGCGUUGUCCGGAUUCAUUGGGCGUAAAGAGCGUGUAGGCGGCCAGGUAGGUCGGUUGUGAAAACUGGAGGCUCAACCUUCAGAGGUCGACCGAAACCAUCUGGCUAGAGUCCGGGAGAGGAGAGUGGAAUUCCUGGUGUAGCGGUGAAAUGCGCAGAUAUCAGGAAGAACACCCGUGGCGAAAGCGGCUCUCUGGAACGGUACUGACGCUGAGACGCGAAAUCGUGGGGAGCGAACAGG